rnacentral:rRNA from 1 species
CAGCCGUAAACUAUGCUCGCUAGGUGUCAGGCAUGGCGCGACCGUGUCUGGUGUCGCAGGGAAGCCGUGAAGCGAGCCACCUGGGAAGUACGGCCGCGAGGCUGAGACUUAAAGGAAUUGGCGGGGGAGCACAACAACGGGUGGAGCCUGCGGUUUAAUUGGACUCAACGCCGGACAACUCACCGGGGACGACAGCAAUAUGUAGGCCAGGCUGAAGACCUUGCCUGAAUCGCUGAGAGGUGGUGCAUGGCGUAGACGUCU